rnacentral:lncRNA from 1 species
GCCGGCACGUCCAACGCCCAUAGCACAGGCCUUUCCUUCCGGCGCCAAGCGCCUGCUGCUCCGCUGGCCGCGGGAGCCGGGCGAGCCAGUCCUUGUUGCUCCUGGGCCGGAGAGGUCUCCUGGGUUGGGAGGCGCAGGCCUGCCCCCGGAGGAGACGCGGGCGCCCCAGACGCCCGCCCUCCCGCCCGCGCUCGUCCUCCCGCCCGCGCUCGUCCUCCCGCCCGCGCUCGUCCUCCCGCCCGCGCUCGUCCUCCCGCCCGCGCUCGUCCUCCCGCCCGCGCUCGUCCUCCCGCCCGCGCUCGUCCUCCCGCCCGCGCUCGCCCUCCCGCCCGCGCUCGUCCUCCCAUCCGCCUGUUCCUCGGCGCGGGCUCCUGGCCGAGGAAACCGAAGCUCCAGUCAGCGGAGCAGCCGAGAUGGGGCGGGCGGGGUGUCGCCGGCCUGCGGGGCGUGUAGGGGAGCUGUGACGCUGGCGUGGGCGAGCGGACCGCUUCUUCCGUGAUAAGGAGUUGUCGGCUGAACCCAAGGGACAGAGCAGACUGUUUGAGAAAGAUGCUCCGAGCCGAGGGACCAGACUUGGUCUGGAAGGUCAGAUGGGGGCUUUGUCGCUACUGAGCUGAGGCCCCGUGGGAGCGGGCCCCCACCUCGAAGACCGCCUUGCUGGGAGCACUUUCGCUUUGGCGCAGAAUCAGCAGUGGCCACCGGGAUUGGAUCUUGAGAUGGUGGAGGAGAGCAGUCAGGACGCCUAAGUGUUAGCCCAGAGGACCGCAAGGAGGGCACCUGCACCAACCCGGGCGACCCGGUGGAAAGGAGCAGAGUUUGAAAAGGAAAUGUGAUGUCGUCGUUUCAGAACAUCCACCCCAUGCUGACCAAGGAGCAAUCUACCCACCAGCACAAUGAAAAGCACUGCACAUCUUUCGGCUGCAGAUGCGAGGAUGAAGAAGGGAGCGAGUGAGGGAGGACAGGGAGGCUGGUGACUUAUACGCUCUCUAUAGAAUGAAUCUCCCUUGUUCUAAUACUGGGGACAAUCGAAAGCCGUCUGCUUUGAGCCAUUUAGCACAUACAGUAGGCUUAUAAAGGACCACUCAGGUCCGGGGAGCUGAACUCAGGUUACUUACAUCAGACUUGCAGAAGUGUCACCAUUGUGCCAGGCUUCAGGAGUGCCCUUGAGAGCACAGUGUCCUAGGGAGGGAGCUGCCAGCUGAACCCAGCAGAGCCCAGCCAUCUAACAUUCAGGGCCUGGUGAGGGAAGGCCUGCCGCGUGUCAGGUCAUUGUCCACACUCAGCUCCCAUCCCAUAUGGAUCAGGGAGUUGGAUUCUGCCCCAGACUUCUGUGAGAGGUGUGUGCUAACACUUAGCUCCAGGCCUGCGUGAAAUAGGCUUCGUCCUUCUCCCAUAGUUUUCUAUGCAUAGCUACCCAAUGGCAUUAUCUAUAAAGGUGAGAUCAGAACAUUGUAGAUCCUGAGGUGGAAGCCUCUCCACAUGGGCUUCUGCAGCCCUGUGUCCUAACCCAGGCUUGAGGUAGACAACGGUGGAGCCAGCAGCAAAGACGCCCCAGGGUCUCUGUGCCCCUGAGUCCUAGCCCUCACCUGGACACACCCACGGAAGCUGGGCUUGGAGCCAGUCUCCUGACCGGUCGACUCGACGGAGGUGGGGGUGCUGUCCCAUCAAGGAGGAGGGAGGCUGGGAUUUGCAUAUCCUAGUGAGAAGAUUUUGGUUCCCUUCAUGAGGGAAUUCACUUGCAUGUAGGCUUGGGACCAAGAUGUGAAGAAAAGGAAGAAAUGAUGAUCUUCAUGAAGACAUUUGCAGAACAAUUGCAGUGUUUUAAUUUUCUUGCAAGAUUUCACAGAAACUCUCUUUUUGCAAUCAAAGGAUUAGCUGCCCUGAGAACCAGGAGGACACCUGCAAGAGUUGUGCUGUGCGGGGCUCUCAGCAUGAAGACGAGGCUCCUGCUUCCCUCCACACGGACCUCAGAUGGAGAAAGUGAAGGUCCUUGGGCUGUUUCUGGGGUGAGGGGCUGGGGGCCUCCGCAGCAUGAGCAGGUGCUGAGACUCAGCAGGGCUCUUGGUGCUGGUGGGGCAGUGCUCAGCUGGGGCAGGACAGGAUGGGGCUUCCUUUCUCCUGCCACAGCUCUGCCUUUAGGUCCACAGGCCUAGGUCAGCGCCCUGCCCACCUGCUCCAUACCACACGCUGUCUGGGAGGACCAGGUGCCUCAGACUCCUGUAGUUGGGACCACCCGGAGGGUGCAAUUCAAUUAUCUUGGGCUUCAGAGACCCACAGAAUCCACCACCCGGCCCCCACUCCCUAGCCAGGUAAUUAAAUGAAUGAUGCAAAAAAGGAAAAAGGAUUGGUCAAGCUUUUUUGGAUGUAACUGAAAAGCAUACUUUCUCAUCUUUUAUAUUCAUCCCAACAAAGGUAACCCUAUUUUAAAGCCCUGUAUUUGUAUCCUGUGUGACCGAGACUAAUUUAACCCAAAGUAAGACAAGCGUCACGCUCCGCCUGAGGCCAGCGGCCGCUCCUGCCUCUUGUGAGCAUCACUCACCUCAAACUCUCACACAUUGUAAUACUCGAGAAGCUUAGGCCUGGAAGGGCUGUGUCUCCGUGGGUCGACCCAGGAGACUUUGCACAGAAUUGUCCCUUUACAUGAAGUCAGUGUCAGGCACAGCCAAAAGUUUUUGGGUUACCUCUUUGUAAAUCAACAGUUGAGAUUGUUGUUGUGCGUACGUGGGUGUGGCUGGAAUCAAAUGCCCUCUGUGACCAACAGUUCUUUCUUCACACUGCACUGCUUUCAUGCUGGUUCUCAUGAAUAAAACAUAUUCACAUGAC